rnacentral:rRNA from 1 species
UACACACCGCCCGUCACACCACGAGAGUUUGUAACACCCGAAGUCGGUGGGGUAACGCAAUUCGCGAGCCAGCCGCCUAAGGUGGGACAGAUGAUUGGGGUG